UCUGCGCCGCAUCUUACUUUAAAACAGAGCAGCACGAGACAGUGAGUUUCGGUGGGUGGGCUUAGAUAUUGAACCCCGUUGCCCCUCCCUCCGUGGAUCCGAUGGCGAGAGAAGUGCACCCGAUCCCUCGGCCGUGGAUCCUGGAAGCCGUUCCCCUCCUCGUCGUCGUCCUCAUAGCCGCACACGUCCUCGCCCUCGGCUACUGGAUCUAUAGAUUAGCCACGGAUAAGCAGCCCCAGCGAAGCAAGGCGCACUAGCAAAUUACAAUAAUCUCAGCCCUUUUCUUCAUGUUAGUCAAGCUCUUGCCUGAAGAGUUCUUAAGGGAGCCGAUGAUGAUCCGAUAGCUCUCGAACAGUUGGAGUUAGUAAAAAUUGGUACAAAUACGUUGUCAUCAUGUGUAAUUCACUGUGUAGUCCCCUGUGUUUUAUUUUAGGUUAAACUUAAUGGUGUGGAUGUGCAUUUGUUAUUUUUCUUAAUUAUCCAUGGCUUAUUUGUUAACGUAAAUAGUUCUGGUCUAGAUCAGCUUAAGAAAACAAAAAGCUUUCAUCAUACAUAUUACGAUAUUAGUUCAAUCUAGGUCAAUUUGCUUUUGCAGAUGUUACGGCCCCCGUAGCUCAGGCAUCAACGUACUGUGACACACUUAGUAGUUUCCACGAUUCAGAUCAGCUCUGAUUUCAGAGGGUAAACUUUUAGAAUUAGAAAAAUUUCCAGGUUUUCGCUUGGUUCUUGGCAGCAUUCUAUCUGAUAACUUUUAUUUUCUUCUUCUUCUUUCACUCUCUUCAUUGUCAUGGAGAGUGGUAAUCAGCUUGCUAAGCCAUUUUAAAGAUAUGUCACUUUAUGUCCCCAAAAUCUGUUUCAUCCCAAGCUUUUUGUUUGGUGUGGUUUUCGUAGGUAUAACUAUUAAAUGACUUAAAGACUUAAUGGGAGUAAUUAUUCCAUCA